GAGUUUGAUCAUGGCUCAGGAUGAACGCUAGCGGCAGGCUUAAUACAUGCAAGUCGAGGGGCAGCAGGACUGUAGCAAUACAGUUGCUGGCGACCGGCAAACGGGUGCGGAACACGUACACAACCUUCCGAUAAGUGGGGAAUAGCCCAGAGAAAUUUGGAUUAAUACCCCGUAACAUAUAGAGUAGGCAUCUUCUUUAUAUUAUAGCUUCGGCGCUUAUUGAUGGGUGUGCGUCUGAUUAGGUAGUUGGCGGGGUAACGGCCCACCAAGCCUACGAUCAGUAGCUGAUGUGAGAGCAUGAUCAGCCACACGGGCACUGAGACACGGGCCCGACUCCUACGGGAGGCAGCAGUAAGGAAUAUUGGACAAUGGGCGAAAGCCUGAUCCAGCCAUGCCGCGUGAAGGAUUAAGGUCCUCUGGAUUGUAAACUUCUUUUAUUUGGGACGAAAAAAGGGAUUCUUUCCCACUUGACGGUACCAAGUGAAUAAGCACCGGCUAACUCCGUGCCAGCA
rnacentral:rRNA from 1 species